rnacentral:misc_RNA from 1 species
UUUUUUAUCCCUUCAACGUGCGGCCGCCGCCUACCCAGUCACAAACCAUAUUUGAACAAACCAUAUUUGAAGACUCGUUUCUCUCUGAAACUGACACGCUCACAGCACACCGAUACCCUCACUGUCAUCGCCCCGCAAUCUCGUCGAGUCAUUCCUCACCCGUCAAGCUCGUCCAUCCCACGACCCUCAAGCUCGCCGCAGCUCAGAAAUCUUUGCUUCUUGCCGCUCGUCCCUUCGACUCCUCCCUCUUAUCUCAAGCUCCUCCCUGCUCUUCAGCUGAG